rnacentral:rRNA from 1 species
AGGUAGCUUGCUACUGGACCUAGCGGCGGACGGGUGAGUAAUACUUAGGAAUCUGCCUAUUAGUGGGGGACAACGUUCCGAAAGGAGCGCUAAUACCGCAUACGCCCUACGGGGGAAAGCAGGGGAUCUUCGGACCUUGCGCUAAUAGAUGAGCCUAAGUCGGAUUAGCUAGUUGGUGGGGUAAAGGCCUACCAAGGCGACGAUCUGUAGCGGGUUUGAGAGGAUGAUCCGCCACACUGGGACUGAGACACGGCCCAGACUCCUACGGGAGGCAGCAGUGGGGAAUAUUGGACAAUGGGCGCAAGCCUGAUCCAGCCAUGCCGCGUGUGUGAAGAAGGCCUUAUGGUUGUAAAGCACUUUAAGCGAGGAGGAGGCUUACCUAGCUAAUACCUAGGAUAAGUGGACGUUACUCGCAGAAUAAGCACCGGCUAACUCUGUGCCAGCAGCCGCGGUAAUACAGAGGGUGCAAGCGUUAAUCGGAAUUACUGGGCGUAAAGCGCGCGUAGGUGGCCAUUUAAGUCAAAUGUGAAAUCCCCGAGCUUAACUUGGGAAUUGCAUUCGAUACUGGAUGGCUAGAGUAUAGGAGAGGAAGGUAGAAUUCCAGGUGUAGCGGUGAAAUGCGUAGAGAUCUGGAGGAAUACCGAUGGCGAAGGCAGCCUUCUGGCCUAAUACUGACACUGAGGUGCG